AGAAUCAACGCUGGCGGCGUGCCUAACACAUGCAAGUCGAACGCGACUGGGGGCUUCGGCUCCCAGUUGAGUGGCGAACGGGUGAGUAACACGUGGGUGAUCUACCUUCGAGCGGGGGAUAACGUUCCGAAAGGAACGCUAAUACCGCAUGACGUUCUGGGUUUAAAGACCUGGAAACCAAAGCCGGGGACCGCAAGGCCUGGCACUUGAAGAGGAGCCCGCGUCCGAUUAGCUAGUUGGCGGGGUAACGGCCCACCAAGGCGACGAUCGGUA
rnacentral:rRNA from 1 species